CACCAAUGGUGACACCCUUUGACAGCUUUUGGUGACAAAAAAUUGGUGUUGACACAGAAUAUACUCAAUGGUGACAAACAAUUUUACUGCUUGUCACAGAAAAUCUUUGGGUAACCAGCAGACAACGUGGCAAAUAAUGAAGAGAUUUGGUGACAAAAAAUUUGUCACCGAAGACAAGUUUCGGUGACAGGCAUGUCACUGAAAGAUCUGAAUUUUUGUUGUCCCGGGCUGUUGUUCAUUUAGGCGCGCUUAUAAAAAGUUAAACAAAAAAAAUUUCAUUCGAAACGACGUCGUUUCAUGCUGUUUUGUUUGUCACCAAAAACAAGCCCUAAUUUUACCGUCCCACGAUUGAAACCCCUCCCCGCCUCCCUCUCUCUCUCUCUCUCUCUCUCUCUCUCCAUAGUCGACAAUAGCGAGCCGGAUCGAUGUGCAAUAAUCUCCUCCGCGUGACCUCUCGACGUCCGUUAGCGACCCUCUACAUGUUUCUCCUCUCUUUGACUGGGUCUCUAUGCUCGCGAUUACAAUCGAAGGGUUCUCGACUCACCACAUCGGAGCCCUAACUGGUCAAAUCGUUCUCUAGACGGUACUGAGAGGCUCCAUGGUUGAGGUUUCAAAGCCCUAGCUAUGGUUUUUUCGAAGUCUGAAUUCUGCUCUUCCUUGAUUUUAUUUUCAUCUUUUCUAUUGGUAAAUUGUGAGUUUGAUAAGAUUUUUCAAAAAGAAAUCAGAGUUUUUAGACAUAGUAGUUUUUUAUCGAUUCUAUCACGAAGAACAAUAGUGGUGAUCUUCCUUUUUUAUUUGUCUUUGUGAUACGGUGGUGACCUUCUAGGCAUUUUUUUUUUUAUGGUUUUGAUAGUCCGCAUUUCUUAACUACUGAUAUAUUUACCAUUGAGGAAAUACGACAAAUUUGGGCUGGAUGUGAUUCAUUGCAGGAAUGAAUUUGGUGAUGACACCAAAAAAAUUGCAGCUGAAGACAUGAAUUGCUGAUUAUUAUAGAACCUAAAGAUAUUCUAAUGGUUUGUUGUCUAGGGUUUUGUUUGUUCAACUCAUGCUAGAUUCAAGAAAUUGGUUCAAACUUCUAAGAAAUCUAUUCUAGUUGAGCUGUUAGCAUAAAAGUAUCAGCUGGAUUGAUUUUUAAGUGGUUUAGCCUUUUAGCUUUGAUGCUUAACUUCUGAGUUUGCGGCUUGAACUUCUGGAGUUGUCAUUUUAACUUCUCAAUUUGUCACUCUUUUUUUCAUAGCAUGUUACCCUUGGCGGUUCAUAGUGCCAAUCGAUCUGCUAAUUAUGAUGUCGUGUCCUUUUGCAGUGCUACCCCUCAAGAAAGUGUUGGUUAGACGGGGUUUUUGCAAACAAUGUUCGUUAGAACGGCACCCCAGAAUUUAGUCUUGCUGGUGUAUCUCUAUAUAAGCAUUGGAUACACAACCAGAAGGGAUGGCUUAGAUGAGGAGUGCUCUGCCAUUGGAGAAAGGAAGAAAUUGGGUUCAAUUAGGAUGAAAAUGUACUGCAUGCUUUUGAGGAUGCUAAUCAUCGUACUUAUGUGAGACUUGAAGGUAUGAAAUCCACUUGCUAGCUUUAUCCAUAGUCGUUAGUCAGAACUAGUGUGGAUGGAGUUUAACUUGAGCUAGAAUGUUGGGAGCGUCUUUGAGAGUGACGGAUUGGGUGUGAAUCUUAGUGAUAAACAUUCAAGUAUGAUAUUCAUUGAAUACCAUUUGAUUGUGCAUUUCUUAUAGACACUAUCGUUUUCAUGCAUUAUAUUUUAGUACAGCCAAAAAAAAAAGGACAAAAAGAAGAAGAGAUGUGGAUGACCCAUCUAAAUAGAUAUUUGUAGUGUUUUUGAGGUUGACAGAUUGGUUACACAUCUAAGAAAAACAAUCUAAUAUAAUUUCCUACAUGAACAGAAAGCACCAUUGAUCCUCUGAAGUAAGUGUCGUCUAUCUUCCUUCAAUUGAUACAUAUACCUAUUGAUGUAUGUGUUUAUAGUUGAAUUUUCAUUUAUAUUUUGCUUAUAUCCAUGUUCAGUAAAAAGGCCUUAAACUCAAGUUCCCCUGAUAGGCUAGACCAACUUCUAGCUUUUUUUUAGCUCCAUUGGUUUUUAUGUUUGUACACCUAGAUUCAUCUGAAAGUGUAAGCUCAGUUAGUAGUCAUUAAUGGGUUUUCGGUAGCGGUAGACUGGGUACAAACCUAACCUUGUCGAUGGCUCAAAAUCUUUUUAGUUACAUGAAGCUUUUCUCUCUCUGUUCAUAAACCAUGGACUGCAAUGUUUUAUCUUUCAGUCACAAUUAUGUGGUUUAACAGCUAGCAGAAGUAUACAUAUGUGUGCAACUUGUCUAGAUGAAAUCGUAUGGGGCAAGGAAAUUGCUAUCUUCUAGAUCUUAUCUUAGCUGAUGUUAGUUGAAUGAUGCGGGUAUUAUCAUAACAUUACAUCAAAUACUAGUCACUAAACUUAAUGGUAGCUAUCUAGACAUGCCCCAAUUAUGAUCGAGUUGUCAUUUCAACUCCUGACCCGUGAAAAAAAUAGAUGGCGAGUGUUGUCUAGUUCAAAAGUUAUUUUAUAGCAUGAUUCCAUGUCCAUGUUUUCAUAUUGUUCUUGUUCAGUUCUCCAUACCGUUGAACUUACUAUGCAUGUAUCGUUAUCUUGGAUUUAUGUUUAUAAGAUUUCUGGAAAAGUAAAUUUCUUGAUCCAUAGUUCUAUCAAGUUUCAGAAAGUCUGAACAUCGUGUGAUAUGAAUUUUUUUUUCUUGCAAUUUUGUACAGGUAAGUAAGGAGAUGAAGUUGCUUUCUGGCAGUUAACCAAGAUGGAGUUGAAGACUUUUUGGUAGUUAAAUGGAACACUUGUUUUGAGUUCUUUUUGUCAUUAGACACACAAUGGAUAUGGAUAGUUUUGGUAAUGUUGUUAAGUUUGAAGUGGCUAUUAUUGGAGGAUGAAUGUUUUGAAAGGUUUUGAAGUUGGAUGAUGAAUGUUGACUUAUUAGAUAUUUGAUUUGAAUGAUAUUUUGUUUCUUCACAA